rnacentral:rRNA from 1 species
ACGACAUNUAAAAAGUAAUUGGGGGAUAGCUCGGGGNAACUCGAAUUAAUACCGCAUACGACCUACGGGAGAAAGCCGGGCAACUCGUUGCUCUCGCUAUUAGAUGAGCCUAAGUCGGAUUAGCUAGAUGGUGGGGUAAAGGCCUACCAUGGCGACGAUCUGUAGCUGGUCUGAGAGGAUGAUCAGCCACACCGGGACUGAGACACGGCCCGGACUCCUACGGGAGGCAGCAGUGGGGAAUAUUGGACAAUGGGGGAAACCCUGAUCCAGCCAUGCCGCGUGUGUGAAGAAGGCCUUUUGGUUGUAAAGCACUUUAAGCAGUGAAGAAGACUCUUCGGUUAAUACCCGGAGACGAUGACAUUAGCUGCAGAAUAAGCACCGGCUAACUCUGUGCCAGCAGCCGCGGUAAUACAGAGGGUGCAAGCGUUAAUCGGAAUUACUGGGCGUAAAGCGAGCGUAGGUGGCUUGAUAAGUCAGAUGUGAAAUCCCCGGGCUUAACCUGGGAACUGCAUCUGAUACUGUCAGGCUAGAGUAGGUGAGAGGAAGGUAGAAAUUCCAGGUGUAGCGGUGAAAAUGCGUAGAGAUCUGGAGGAAUUACCCGAUGGCGAAGGCAGCCUUCUGGCAUCAUACUGACACUGAGGCUCGAAAGCGUGGGUAGCAAACAGGAUUAGAUACCCUGGUAGUCCACGCCGUAAACGAUGUCUACUAGUCGUUGGGUCCCUUGAGGACUUAGUGACGCAGCUAACGCAAUAAGUAGACCGCCUGGGGAGUACGGCCGCAAGGUUAAAACUCAAAUGAAUUGACGGGGGCCCGCACAAGCGGUGGAGCAUGUGGUUUAAUUCGAUGCAACGCGAAGAACCUUACCUGGUCUUGACAUAUCUAGAAUCCUGCAGAGAUGCGGGAGUGCCUUCGGGAAUUAGAAUACAGGUGCUGCAUGGCUGUCGUCAGCUCGUGUCGUGAGAUGUUGGGUUAAGUCCCGCAACGAGCGCAACCCUUGUCCUUAGUUACCAGCGGGUUAAGCCGGGAACUCUAAGGAUACUGCCAGUGACAAACUGGAGGAAGGCGGGGACGACGUCAAGUCAUCAUGGCCCUUACGACCAGGGCUACACACGUGCUACAAUGGUAGGUACAGAGGGCAGCUACACAGCGAUGUGAUGCGAAUCUCAAAAAGCCUAUCGUAGUCCAGAUUGGAGUCUGCAACUCGACUC